AAAAUGUUAAUUGGUUGUGCAAAACUUGUUAAUAUAUUUCACACAAUUAUUUGUAAAUUUGUAGUUGUAAUUUUGCAAUUUCAAUGUAUUCACAUAUCAUUCGAAUGAAACGUUGAAUGUUAUAUGCUAUGAAAUUUGUACAUAUUCUGAAUUUCAUUGAAAGCUAUUGUUUGUUGUAGUUUUCUGAACCUCAUCAGCUCAUCAGCAACUUUACUCUUCAAGUGAACGCAAUAAUAUUCAUCAAGUCCUCAGCAGCAGCCACUUAUUAUGAACUGUAAUUCCUUAAAUAUCAAUACAUUAAACACUGUUGCUGCGAGUAUCAGUUUUUGUGUUCCGCAGUAACAGUGUAUUUAUUGUGUAUAUGUAGUUUCUGAGACUCUUAAAGAGUUUGAAGUAACCAGUUCAAGUGAGAUCUGAGAGAAGAGGAAUGACUGACAUGAUGAACUGACAGAGGAAAAUGGUGACUUACAGUUUGAGUGAAAAUGUUGACUGAAUACUGCUUGAAGGAAGUAUGUGCAUAUGUCUUCCUGUUUGGGGCUGACUUUAAUCUGUCUUUAUGUUAUUGACAACCUUGCUGUCAGAACAUUAGAUGACUUAAUAAAGAGAAUGUUAGCAAAGAUA